CUUUAUUGGAGAGUUUGAUCCUGGCUCAGGAUGAACGCUGGCGGCGUGCCUAAUACAUGCAAGUCGAGCGAAUGGAUUAAGAGCUUGCUCUUAUGAAGUUAGCGGCGGACGGGUGAGUAACACGUGGGUAACCUGCCCAUAAGACUGGGAUAACUCCGGGAAACCGGGGCUAAUACCGGAUAACAUUUUGAACCGCAUGGUUCGAAAUUGAAAGGCGGCUUCGGCUGUCACUUAUGGAUGGACCCGCGUCGCAUUAGCUAGUUGGUGAGGUAACGGCUC
rnacentral:rRNA from 1 species